UUUCCAGCCUUCUUCCUUCCCUUCAUUACAUCCUUAUCUAUACUUCGUUUCUGCAUCUUUCUCUUCCACUUUCAAGAAACAAUGGCUAGUGUUUAUCUUGCUUUUGCAGGCAAAGCAGUUGCGACGCCUGUUAUCUCGUAUCUAUUGAACAAAGCCUUUGGUUACCUUCAUAGAUACUGGAAGGCUGAGGACUUGAAGGCUUUGGAAGCAGAACUUCUGAGGACACUCCCUCAGGUCCAAGCAGUAUUUGAUGCUGUUGACAGGGAGCAAAUCAAGGGGCACAGCACGGCACUGGAUGCAUGGUUGUGGCAGCUGAGGGAUGCUAUCGAGGAGGCUGAAGAUUCACUCGAUGAGCUCGAGUACUACAAGUUGAAGGAGGGUGUCAAAGCACGUGAAGAACAAGAUGAACCUUGGGGCAUCUCCAAGUUAAAAGGAAAAUUUAUCAACAAGCUCAUCAAGCAUGGCCCUCAGAAUGGCCGGUUGAAGAGGUUGAAGGAAGCUAUUGAAGGAUUACACAAGGUAAUUUCAGGUGUGACCAGUUUCCUUGAUUUUGUGAAAGUGGGUACUGUUGGUCCCCAUAUGGAUUGUGAUCACUGGAAGAUAACAGGUAAGCAAUAUGAAACAAGCUCAAAGUUGACAGCGAAUGAAGUUUUUGGCCUGGACAAGGAAAAAGAUUUGAUCCUCAAGUGGUUGAUUGGUAAUGAGCCAAUGGGUGCCAAUCUCCAGUUUUUUUCCAUAGUUGGGCAUGGUGGCUUUGGGAAGACAACUUUAGCUCAACUCAUUUAUAGUGAGAAGAAUGUGCAAAAUUACUUUGACUUGCAUAUAUGGGUAUCUGUAUCUAGUCAUUUUGAUGCAUUAGCCAUAACAAAAAGUAUCAUAGAGGCAAUUACAAAGGAGAGCACAUCAGCCAAUACAUUGGAAUCGCUUCAUGCCAUUCUUGAAGAGAAGUUGAUCUCUCAGAGGUUGUUGCUUAUUUUUGACAAUGUUUGGAAUGACAAAGAUAUGAAUGAGUGGGAGAGACUAUUUGCUCCCCUUAAAAUUUGUGGAAGUGGAAGCAAAAUUUUGAUUACAACUCGGAUGAAAUCAGUGGGAGAUAUGGUUGGCAAUGUUCUUGGAGUUAAGGGAGAACAUCUUAAAUUAGGUGGCUUACAAGAGAAAGACCUCUUGAUGCUGUUCAAUAAGUAUGCAUUCUGUCGUCUUGAUCUCAAGUAUCCCACAAAUUUGCACUCUCUUGGUGAACAGAUUGUUAAAAGGCUUGGUGGUUGUCCCUUGGCAGCCAAGGUUAUAGGUGCACAUUUGAGUAGCAACAUGAGUUUUGUGCAUUGGAAGAAAAUUUUGCAGGAUGACUUCCAGAAUUUACAGAUAGCAAAGGAUGGUAUCAUCAAGGUUCUUAGAUUAAGCUACCACUAUCUACCUGCAAACCUGCAACUGUGCUUUAGAUAUUGUAGCAUAUUUCCACAAGGGUACAAAUUUGGGAAGAAGGAACUGAUGGAGAUGUGGUUGGGUUCCGGAUUGAUUUUGCGAACUGCAAAUGAAUCACAACCUUUGGAAGAUACUGCAGCAGAAUAUUUGGAUCUGCUGGCAAGAAAAUCAUUCUUUGACUUCACAUCAAUAGAAAGGGCUGGUGUAGUUCUUGAGGAAUACUAUGUUAUGCAUGAUAUAAUGCAUGAUAUGGCACGAGCUGUUUCUUCAGGGGAAUGCUUGAGGACUGCAGGUAUUGGAUUUAUUAGUAUUGCGAAAACAGUUCGCCACUUGUCCAUUAAAAUAGAAGAUUCAGUCCAUCUGAAGGAGCUUUGUCAUCUCAAUAAAUUGCGCAGUUUAGUUAUCGAAUUUGUUGGAGAUGAUCCCAGCAUGACUUAUUAUCUUACAUUUUCUGAGGUUUUAAAAGAAUUAAAAGCCUUGCGGAUAUUAUGCUUAACUACUAAAUGCCAGUUUCACCUGCCGGAUGCUAUUUCUAAUUUAGUACACCUGCGCUACAUCUCAGUCUUUAGCAGCAAAAGAUCAUUUCUUGUAUCAGUGCAUAAACUGUUCAGUCUCUACCACCUGCAAGCACUGAAGAUUAUGGAGUAUUCUGAUGGCAAAAUGCUAAAACUGGAUGGCAUGGGUAAUCUAGUAUGUUUGAGAAAUUUACAUGUCCCUUAUGACAUCCUUUCCUCAAUUCCUCGAAUUGGUAAUCUUACAUGCCUUCAAGAAUUAUAUGGAUUUAGCUUGCAGAGAAAAAAAGGAUACAGCAUAACUGAACUAAGAAAUUUAACACAACUUCGUCAUCUUCGUCUUCGAGACAUUCAGAAUAUUGACAAGUAUGAAGAAAUUUUAGAUGCCAAACUGAAGGAGAAGAAACAGCUGAGGACCUUAUCUUUGCACUGGGCUUCUUAUGACGGUGAUACAAAGAAGAUAGAUGACCUAGUUCUUGAAAACUUGCAACCACACUCUGAUCUUGAGGGGCUUGAUAUUAUAGGGUAUAAUGGCACUAGACUUCCUUCUUGGAUGAGAAACCCCUAUCUCAUAACUUUGGUAUCACUAAAGAUAAUCAAGUGUGGAAAAAUGGAGCAGCUCCCGUCGCUAACAAGUCUCUGCUCACUGGAGAAUCUUUAUCUGCAAGACCUUUCAGUGCUAGUGAAAAUAGGUUGCUUCAGCAAUGGUUCUAUUGGUAGCAGUUCAGAAGGGAUGGGUUACACUGGCUCAAAUGAGGUGUUUCCUCCACAUCUUAAUACCCUGACAAUUCGAGGAUGUCCUAGACUCAGGGAAUUGCCUACCAUGCCAUCGGGGUUAAACCAGUUGAAAAUACUGAAUUCUGGCUUGAUUCACCUUCCGUACAUGCAGUGGAACUAUACCGAGGGAACUGCGCCAUUAUCCAGCAACUCACGACUUACUGUGCUGAUUGAGGAUUGCCCAGAUUUGACUUCUUUGGCAGAGGGCUUCUUCAAACAGCCUGUAUAUCUCGAGUCCAUUCGAGAUAUCCACAUUUUCCAAUGUGAAAAACUAGAAUACUUACCGCCCAAAGGCUUCUCGGAACUUGUGAACCUACAAAACCUAGAGAUAUCCUAUUGUUCAAUGCUAAGCGGUAAUGCACUUGAAGUUAAGCUGCUUCCAUCAUCCCUGGAAAAUCUCACUAUUACAUCAUGUGGUAAACUAGAGAACAUUUUGAUUGGUUCAUUAACAGGACUAAAUUCUCUGAAUCUCCUCAAAUUUUCUGAAUGCAAUCAUAUGACAUCUCUUCCAUCUACAGAAACAUUUAAAACUCUGACAGCACUAAGAACAGUGAGACUGUGUGAUUGUCCAGAAUUGUCAUCCUUGGGUGGGUUACAGUGCCUCGAAUCUUUGAGAUAUUUGUCUAUUGAUCGCUGCCACAAGCUUGCUAUGAUUCCUUCAAGGCAACCGUCAUUGUUUCAUGGCGUCAAAGAAGAUGGGAAUGAGAAUUUACUAAAGCUUGGGACGUUACGUAUUGAUGAUCAUUCUCUGCUUUAUGUGGAACCACUGAGAAGCAUUUGCUUUGCGAGAGAAUUGUCCAUCUGUGAUGACCCCAUCAUGACAUCCUUGCCUGAGCAAUGGCUGCUGCAGAAUCAGACUGCAUUACGCCAUUUGUGGGUAUUCAAUGUGAAGUCAUUGCGAUGUCUUCCAUCAAGCCUUGCAAAUCUCUGCCAUCUCCAAAGUUUUUCCCUAUUUGCUGCUCCACUUGUUGAGUCACUGCCGCAACUGCCUGCAUCAUUAGGAAAACUCGAUAUUAGCUUUUGCCACUCAAUGUUAAAUGAACGGUGCAGAAAAGGAGGAUCUGACUGGAGCAAGAUUGCACAUAUCCCUGUGGUAAAAAUUAAUGGGCUACAGGAAGAAUCAUCAUGAAUGAAUGUUUUUAUUGAAGGUGGCCACUCAAUGUUUUGCUGUCUUGGAGCUCAUAAAGGACUUCCCUCUGCGAGCAUGCAUAUCUGUGCAUGCGAGUACUACUGCAAAUAAUCAUUUCCGCUUUUGUUUAUCCUACUUUGGUGAGUACUUUCAGUUGCCAGGAUUUCCCUAAAAAGGAAAACAAUAACUGUUUUUAGGCUCCUUAAACAAAGAACUGUUUUGAUGUUAAUUUAAUUGAGCUAGUAGAUUGAUUCUAGGAUUAUUUUCUUAAGGCAAACAAAGCUAUUCGUAGUAUUUGGUUCAGUGACUAGAACCUCAAUCUGCCCCAUCUGUUUUUUUUCUUGAUAAGGGACCCAUGUGUUUUGUGAUGUGUACCUAUGGAACUUUAUUCUAAGACAUCCUUUCUGGCAACAUGUUCCGUCCUCAGCUAGAUUUAAUCCCAAUACUACUGUGGUGUCAUAUUUUUUUUCCCUGAAAAGUUUGUUCCAGUACCACGAAAGAUCAAGAGGUAGCCCCUUCGCAUAACUAUUUGUGUCUAUAUUUUACAGAAAACAAAAAUCAAAGACGACGGAGAUGCUAGUGUUGAAGUAUUUUCUUAAGUGCAGUGCCAGUUGAAUUCAAAGGCCACCCCUCAUUGUCUACCAAAUUCUCUAUCUUGUGGAGGUCAGAGCAGUUGAGUUCCACUUCAUCAAUUAUCAUGCCUGUGCUUUCCACCUUGAUGAGCCCCCAAUUAAAUAUGAAAAAGACAUCCAUCUACAGCUUCAGUUUCAAGAUAUUUGGACAUCACUGGACAAAGCAUUUUUGACCAAUUUAUGUUGGAUCUAAAGCGCAGGUCAACAUGAAAUGAGAAUUGCGUAUGCCGAGUACUUUUGAUUGGAUAUCUUGCUGAUUGGACUACUGCUCUGUUCUAUCUGCUUCAAAAGCUUUGGACUACUGCGCAGAGUCCAGGCGCCAGAGUUCUUUGCUAAGUUAUUUGGGUGCUGGCCUGAUCAUUGCUUUUAGGUCGAAAGGAGCUAAGAAAUAGUCUUUUUUGUUCGUGUUUGUGCAUCUUAUAUUCUUCUCUGGAGGUUAGACCAAUUGCUCUGUGUUGUUUUCUUUGGACUAAAACAUGUUUUUUCAAUAUGCUAAUGCACUGACGUUUGACCCA